rnacentral:rRNA from 2 species
AUGAUUCGUGGGACGUCCUGCCGGUGGUGGCGAGUCGAAGGCGUGCUCCCGUUGUGGUUUCCACUUCGGUUCUUGCGCGCCCGAGGCGGACCCCGAUGAAAUCCUACCGCGGUGCUCUUCGCCGAGUGUCGAGGUGGGCCGGCACGUUUACUUUGAACAAAUUAGAGUGCUUAAAGCAGGCCUGUUGCGCCUGAAUACUGUGUGCAUGGAAUAAUGGAAUAGGACCUCGGUUCUAUUUUGUUGGUUUUCGGAACCCGAGGUAAUGAUUAAUAGGGACAGGCGGGGGCAUUCGUAUUGCGACGUUAGAGGUGAAAUUCUUGGAUCGUCGCAAGACGGACCGAAGCGAAAGCAUUUGCCAAGUAUGUUUUCAUUAAUCAAGAACGAAAGUUAGAGGUUCGAAGGCGAUCAGAUACCGCCCUAGUUCUAACCAUAAACGAUGCCAGCUAGCGAUCCGCCGAAGUUCCUCCGAUGACUCGGCGGGCAGCUCCCGGGAAACCAAAGCUUUUGGGUUCCGGGGGAAGUAUGGUUGCAAAGCUGAAACUUAAAGGAAUUGACGGAAGG